UACGAAGGGGGCUAGCGUUGUUCGGAAUUACUGGGCGUAAAGCGUGCGCAGGCGGCUUCUCAAGUCAGGGGUGAAAGCCCAGAGCUUAACUCUGGAAUUGCCUUUGAGACUGAGAGGCUUGAGUACGGGAGAGGUGAGUGGAACUGCGAGUGUAGAGGUGAAAUUCGUAGAUAUUCGCAAGAACACCAGUGGCGAAGGCGGCUCACUGGCCCGAUACUGACGCUGAGGCACGAAAGCGUGGGGAGCAAACAGG
rnacentral:rRNA from 1 species